GGGGCUGUUUGGUUUUGACGGCGGGUAGAAGAGGUAUGUAAGCAUGCAGUGCAUUGUCUGUUAAGCACUUUAAUCAUAGCAGGUAAACUAUAAUUGGCGAAAAUACUUACGCUCUUGCUGCUUAAUCGAAGUAUAGUAGAUUAGCUUAAUUUCGGCACCAGGUGCUGAAACAAGACAUCUCUCAGAUGCCAUCGCGCCGAGGCGGUCUGGUUUAGAGGUGCUAUAAAUUCGGGGCUGGUCAGUAGUGGCUGUGCAUUGCUGAUGAGAUUUUAGCAGAUAAGGUGUCAGUUGGUGGCUUCGGUCUUGCUGGCACACGAAAAUCAAGGCGAAGAUAAGCAUGUAGAAAGCGUAUUGCUUCCUCGUUCGGACACGGGUUCGACUCCCGUCAGCUCCACAA
rnacentral:tmRNA from 1 species